GUAGUCUCGCACAGAUGCAUAUCAAUAAGCGGAGGAAAAGAAACUAACAAGGGAUUCCCCUAGUAACGGCGAGUGAAGCGGGAAGAGCUCAAAUUUGAAAUCUUAAAGGGUUUCCCUUUACGAAUUGUAGUUUAAAGAAGUGUUUUCUGUUGAGGUUUUGGUAAAAGUUCUUUGGAAUAGGACAUCAUAGAGGGUGAGAAUCCCGUAGUUUGACCUUUACUUUCAACUUUGUGAUACACUUUCAAAGAGUCGGAUUGUUUGGGAAUGCAGUCCAAAAUGGGUGGUAAAUUUCAUCUAAAGCUAAAUAUUGGCGAGAGACCGAUAGCGAACAAGUACCGUGAGGGAAAGAUGAAAAGAACUUUGAAAAGAGAGUUAAACAGUACGUGAAAUUGUCAAAAGGGAAGCGUUUGACACCAGUGUUGUUUUUCUGAAAAUCAAUUAAAGAACUGUUUAUGCUAAGUUGUUUAGACUUUAUCAGCUAACUGUUUAGUUUUGAGCUUUUCUUUAAUGCACUUUUCAGUUAACAAGUCAACAUCAAUUUCUUUUGCUGUAAAAAAGCUUGAGGAAGGUGGCUUGAGAUUCGUCUUAAGUGUUUAUAGCCUCUUGCCUAUGCAGUCGGAGAGAUUGAGGUCUGCAGCGUAGAUCCUUUGGGGCUAAAUGCAUUUGUGCUAAGUUAUAGCAUUUUAUAGACAACUUGUUGACUAUGAUUUGUCUUGUAGCUUACUCGCUUAUGUUAUUUUACCUACGCUUAGGAUGUUGAUGUGAUACUGCGAGCA
rnacentral:rRNA from 1 species